CCUACGGGUGGCAGCAGUGAGGAAUAUUGGUCAAUGGACGAGAGUCUGAACCAGCCAAGUAGCGUGAAGGAUGACUGCCCUAUGGGUUGUAAACUUCUUUUAUAUGGGAAUAAAUUGUUCCACGUGUGGGCUUUUGUAUGUACCCUAUGAAUAAGGAUCGGCUAACUCCGUGCCAGCAGCCGCGGUAAUACGGAGGAUCCGAGCGUUAUCCGGAUUUAUUGGGUUUAAAGGGAGCGUAGGUGGGUUGUUAAGUCAGUUGUGAAAGUUUGCGGCUCAAACGUAAAAUUGCAGUUGAAACUGGCAGUCUUGAGUACAGUAGAGGUAGGCGGAAUUCGUGGUGUAGCGGUGAAAUGCUUAGAUAUCACGAAGAACUCCGAUUGCGAAGGCAGCUCACUGGACUGCAACUGACACUGAGGCUCGAAAGUGUGGGUAUCAAACAGGAUUAGAUACCCGUGUAGUC
rnacentral:rRNA from 1 species